GCUCGUGCCCGCUGCACAUAUAUAUAAAUAUAAAGAAAACUUAUAUAGAGCUAUCUAUCUAGCAUAUCUAUAUAUCUAUAUAUCUAUAUGAUGUCAUAGUUUGCUUUAUUUUUGUACCUGUGCUUAGAGACACUUUGAGCAGUAUCGCCUCCCCCAGGUGGUCCGGGGUGCUAGCUCAUGCCUUGAUCCCACUGAUAUUUCUCCAUCCUCCUCAAGACAGACUGUGUUGGAAGCUGCUUGAGUCUUUCUGGUAGAUAUGUGUAUAUAUGAACAAAAACAAAAACAAAAAAACCACAAAAAAACAACAAAAAACAAAAAAACAAAACUAAAGUCAUUUAUAGAAAGGACAGGCAAGCCGAAGGCGCCAAGCUGCUGGAUCUGCAUGUCUCCUGUCAGGGGGGUUCCCUAACUCCUGCUGUCUGGUAGAUGUGCUCAGUGUAGAAAGGACGAUGGAGAGCUUAGCAUGAAUCCAUACCCCUCUGGCUAAGGGUUGGUACUCAGUUCUUUGGAAACGAUUUAGCUCGGCAUCUUGGACAGAGGGAGCUCAGAUUCUCUAGGUCGUCUGGUAACACCUGUCCUGCUUUGUAGCACCUGGGCUCAAGCAGCCCCCGUGUGAGGUGGUAGGAAGGUUUUUGAAGCUGACUGCGUGGGUUCAGUCUUGGAGAAGAUACACCCUGGUAAUUACUGCUGCAGAGUCUUGGAACCAGCAUGAAUGUGAUAUCUAGUAUAAAUAUAGCAUCUGUGCUUUUUCAUUUAUUUUUAAUUGGAAAAUAAACUGUUGUCGGAAAUGGGGCAGUCUAGUCCCAGAACACUGAGCGGAAGAUCAGGAAAGGGGCACUGACACCGGUUAGGAUGUGAGGGAUAGGUCCUACUGCUGGCUGCUUGGCCCGGGACUCUGAAGUUAACAAAUGUAUUGGAAGAAGGUGGUUUGGAUGGAGAUUCCGGGAGUUCACUUGCGUUUGGGAAGGAAACUGUGUGCUCUGAAGAAUACCUCUUUAAGAAUUCAAGACCUCACAUAUGCUGCGAGGGCCCCAUGCCCUGCAGCCUUAGCUGGCGUCUCCUGGUGCUAGCUCUUUCUUCUCAUGUGCCAAGUGAUCAGAGUGGUGUCCUUGAAGCUGAUGCAAAGCCAGGGGAGACUCAAGGCUGAAGUCUCUCCAGUCUUCCUGCUUCUCACUUAAGAAAAGGCAAAAGUGCCCCCCCCCACACCAAUCUGUCCAAACAAAACAUGAUGCUAGCCAAGAGCUCUUAUUUCAGAUGCCUCAACUGUGGGAAGGGCUUUUAUGUUUUUGUUUUUGUUUUUGUUUUUUUCUGGUGGGGGAGGGGAGUGAAAGGCAGAGUAGGCUGGAGAGGAGCUUGAGUCUAACUCCUGACCCUUAAGGAGACCUUAUGAUUCCUUUGAUGAUCUUUUCAAAAUAUUAAAAAAAUGUCCAAGGGUAUUGUGAGAAAAUGGGUUCUCCUGUGGUCCAUGUCGGACUGGAUGGGCUCCAGCACCUGCUCUAACUUAGGAGGCCGAGGGAGGAUAGCAGGUGUUUCUUGUAGAUUUCCUGAGAGAUUGGGCAAGAGGAAGAACAGCAAAUUCUUUGUCCCUUUCUAGCUUGAGUCCCCUCCUCACUUACCAAAGAGGGGAUUGGGAUUCCAUUGUUUGUUUUUUGUUGUUGUUGUUUUUGUUUUUUGCCUCACUUUUGGUCAUAAGCUAUCAGCAGAGCAGAUCAUGUUAGCAUCUCAGGGCUCAUAGCUCAUACUCCAUGAAGCCCAGGUUUGCUCUGACUCUACUCUUUCCCCGUUGAGCUAAAGGCUUGGUCCUUAGAAACCUCAGCAGCAUCAAGGAACAUGAGAUUGCCCUCCUAUUUCAUGAUGUCCAAUUGGAUUCCUCUCUGGAAACGGGAAGAUGGACAUGUCCUUCACCUUGAAGUUUUAGGGCUUGAGGAAUGUGCCACUAUUACUCUGUCUAUGACCUCAGUCAGACGGUGCAAAGUGUGCACUGGAGGAGAAGGGAGUCGGGGCUCAGUAUCCAUCACCUAGUCUAUAGAAGAGCCAGCUUUCCAUGAUGGAACGCAGAGCUAAGGAGGCCAGGAUCUGACUAUGUAUGGAAAGAGCAAGCUAGCUGAACGUUGAGUCUCUUAGUUAAUGGGACUGGUGUUAAUGGGAAGGCUGCUCUGAGAAAGCUACUGCCAGGAUCCUGAACUGUUUCCAAUACUUGUGAUUCACCUUGGUCCCUAGGUCAUGGGAGAUUUGUUGACUUGUGAUGCUCUUUCUUCUUGGUAGGAGAUAGGGGAAAUCUAAGGAGACUUAGUUUGGCUACCUCUGUCUGUUAUAUGGAAUGAACGUGGAAACAGAUGUGGAAAUUGUUCUCCUAAGGGUUGAUGCAGCUCUGUCCUUUCCCCAUUGUCCUUAACCAGGAGACUUGGGGAAAGGGACACCUCUACCACUCAUCAGUUGCUUGGGCCUCACCUUAUGCUGUAGGUACUAACUAUGUGGAGCCAUUUGGACAAUACAAAAGCAUGGGGGGAGGGGCAGGACACAGCUGUGGAUCAUGAUGUUAGAGUAGGGGGGUUUGUUCUGUAGUCAAGAAAGUGACUGAAAGGAGUUGCUGUAUGGAAUGACCUUGAUGCCAGAACUCAAGACUGAGCUCUCACAAAAGGAGCAGCUGACCAUUGAGCGCUGUAUGCACUGUCAGACAGUCUUACAGCUCCAUUCAGAUUUAAUUUUCUAACUGCCAUUUGUGGGGUCGGAGACUGAGGGCAGGAAUGGGACAUGCUUUCCCAAGUUACCUGUCCUUAUACAAUCCUUGACUGAGCAGAGGGUGCCCUGCUUUGGUCAGCAACUCUGGGGCCCCCUUCAUCGCCGCCUCUUCUCUCUUUCAUGAGGAGGAACUGUAUCAUCUUGGACACAGUUCUUCCCUCGUGCAGUUAAAGGCAGUUUUUGUUGUAUGAAUUCUUUCCCUCCUGUGUCCCAUUAGUGUGUAGACACACGGCAGUGGGGAGGUGAAGGAUCCUGGUGCUCCCUGUCAGGCUCCCUCACAGACUGCACACCUCUUGCCCCUGACAGCCUCCUGGCUGUUAGUCUUAACAUAUCUGGACGUGACUAUCAAUAUCGUCAUGAGAUUUCUUGCUCUCAUUUCAGACCUUUAUUCUUCCUUUGGCUUUCGUUGGGGGCUCUUCCUCCCCCAUGCCUAGUCUUCUCAUGAAGAUGGUUCAAACCUCAUUUCUAUUUCUUGAAUGUUGAGUAUUACAUCACAGCGCUAGGGUGCUUCAUGGUGCUGCUCCUGAAGAGGCCAGCUGGACGGGAUCAGUCCGCUUCGUCCCACUGGUUCCUUAGAGCUUGCUGUAUCUUGUCCCUAUUAGAUGUUUUUCCUUGUGGGUUGGGGUGGGAGAGUUAGGGGUAGUUUUUGUGUUCUCUCUCUCUCUCUCUCUCUCUCUCUCCCCUUUCUCUCUCCCUUCCUCUUUCUCUCUAUAUGUAUGUAUGUAUGGAUUGGUUAAAGUCAGUUAUCAUGGGCAGCUGACUUUGACUCCAAAUUAAAGUUAAACUACACAUUGUACAGCUGCACACAGAACACCUUUGAGUGUGAAUUUGGAUGGCAACUAGAGGCAUACUUUUUGAACUUCAGGUAUGUAACUGAAAAGUAAAUAAAAACACUAUUUUUUCAGUAACCUUUUUUUUUCCUUCUAAAAGAUAACUUAAAAAUCAAACUAUACGAACAUUAAAUUGGUGCUGUACCAAAGCCUUAUGACAUAUUCCACACUCCGUAUAUCCUGUCUCCCGGGAGCUCUCUGCUUAUUACUCUUUUCAAAAGCCUGGGAAUGCCAGUGAGCGUCAAGCCUGGGUCUGGGUGCUGGGGACCCGUGGGCCAAGGGGACUCGUGGGAGCAGAAGAUGAUGGUGGAGGUGGGGGUACCCAUCUUCUGCCUGAGCAGAUACUGAAGGGAAAGCAGGUGUUGGUGUGUGUGGCAUGCAUGUGUGUGUGCGCGCGCGCAUGCGUGCGCACGUGUGCAUGAGCUCACCUGUGCAUAGUGCCGAGGAGCAUGCUAUGCUACCUGGGCACUGAAAGGGAGACCCAGGUUGGCCUGGGUGUGGGUUGGCUGUGGGAGUGAGGGGCACGCCCCUUCCCUUUUCCAUUUCCCCUUUCUUGUAGGUUAGUAAUGGAGGUGUAUCAGAAACAGCUACACUCUCAAACAGGUGCUUUUCCCCCUUCAGAAAUCUCCAAACUAAGUAUCUCUCUGUGAAGGGCCUGUCCAUGGGGCAGGCACCUCAGCUACCAAAUCCUAACCGCCUACGGCUGAGAGGAACCCUUUUCCUCUCUAGCCCUUGCCUAGUUUUUUGGGGACAAAGGUUCCUCCAGGGAUCUCUGCGUCCCCUGUUCCUUGGCCUGGGUGGGCUUCUUAGCCCAUUGAGAAGGCCUCACUGUGGCUGACCCAUAGCUGUACCUGCUCCGUGGUCCUAAUCAAUAAUGCCUGCCCUGGCGGCUGAGGACCAUGAUUCCUUUGGCCUCAGACUUGUCAGUGUGAAGUUGAGCACCAGCCCAGAUUUAUUCGGGAGGAAAUCUACAGUCGGCCUCCACCUAGACUGUGACUCUAGGCUCCACCUGCUGGUGCUCUUGGGCUUGCUGAAACUAACCAACUCAUCCCCAGUAACACUGCAUGUCCAUAUCCGCAAACAACAACAACAGUACAUAAGCAAGCGCAGGGAAAGAGAGAGAAAGAAGACACAUCCAACAUCUAGAUGUGUAGUCAGUGAGGGAACCCCUGGGAACAUUGCAAGCUAAGCUGAUUUCAAAACGUUUAGUAUUUAAAUUACUUCUCAUGUAACAUUACUCUGCUUCAGAAAUGUUUUGUAUUUUGAUAUAAAUAAAAAUUUGCUUAA
rnacentral:lncRNA from 1 species